AAACCCUAAACUGAGCUUUUCCAUGCAAUCAGCAUUAGGGUUUUAAACCCUAAACUGAACUCUUUCCCUUUAGUCAGCAUUAGGGUUUUAAACCCUAAACUGGAACUUUUCCUUUCAGUCAGCAUUAGGGUUUUAAACCCUAAACUGAACUUUUCCAUUCAGUCAGCAUUAGGGUUUAAACCCUAACUUAACUUUCCUUUCAGUCAGCAUUAGGGUUUUAAACCCUAAACUGAACUUUUCCUUUAGUUAGCAUAGGGUUUUAAACCCUAAACUGAACUUUUCCUUUCAGUCAGCAUUAGGGUUUUAAACCCUAAACUGAUCUUUUACAUUCAGUUAGCAUUAGGGUUUUAAACCCUAAACUGAACUUUUCCUUUCAGUCAGCAUUAGGAUUUUAAACCCUAACUUAACUUUUCCUUUCAGUCAGCAUUAGGGUUUUAAACCCUAAACUGAACUUUUUCCUUUCAGUCAACAUUAGUGUUUUAAACCCUAAACUGAACUUUUCCUUUC
rnacentral:lncRNA from 1 species